rnacentral:lncRNA from 1 species
AAACCGAGGCAGGGAAGCUCUACGUCUUGGGGGCCGCAUGGUGCCGAGAGCGCAGACCAGACCCGCCCCGCCUCUCCGUGCCACGCACGCGCUCGGCUCCGCGCUUAAUGAAGCAGUAUCUGACUGUGUUGCCCAGGCUGGUCUUGAACUCCUGGUCUCAAAUGAUUCUCCUGCUUUGGCCUCCUAAAGUGCUGGGAUUACAGCAACGCGAAUGAAAUUUGGUGCCAUCACUCGGAUCAGGGGACCUCCCUUGGGAGAUCAAUCCCCUGUCCUCCUGCUCUUUGCUCCAUGAGAAAGAUCCACCUACGAUCUCUGCUCCUCAGACCAACCAGCCCAAGGAACAUCUCACCAAUUUUAAAUCGGAUCUUCUCAGCUUAGCGGCUGAAGACUGAUGCUGCCAGAUGACUUUGGAAGCCCCCUGGACCAUCACAGAUGCCCAGCUUUGGAUAACUCUUACAGUGGAGGACAGGAAUAUCAGGUCUCUGAGCCCAAGCUAAGCCAUCAUAUCCCCUGUGACCUGCAUGUAUGCAUCCAGAUGGCCUGAAGUAACUGAAGAAUCACAAAAGAAGUGAAAAUGGCGCGUGCCUGCCUUAACUGAUGACAUUACCUUGUGAAAUUCCUUCUCCUGGCUCAUCCUGGCUCAAAAGCUCCCCCACUGAGCACCUUGUGACCCCCACUCCUGCCUAACAGAGAACAAUCCCCUUUGACUGUAAU